UUUUUGGACAAGUCAAGUGUGUUAUCAUAUCAAAGGAAGUAUUGUAGACCCAAAUAUCAUUAAGGUUCAAGUUCACACAUUCAGAAUCAGUGAUAUCUAGUUUCAAUUGUGCAGCAAGUUUAUCAAAGAAAGUAUUAUACACUAGAAUAUCAUCAAACAACCAACCUACAUGUUUAGAAUCAUUUUCAGCACACAAACAAUCAAGCUCAAACUCAGAGAACUUUGCAGAUUUCACAAAUUUAAAUCUAAAAUCAGAUUGAUGCAAUUUCGGUUCCUGCAACUUCUUAGGUUCAUUCAAUACAUAA
rnacentral:lncRNA from 1 species